UUGAAACAGCCAUGGUUUAACAAGAACAGAUGCAAGAGGUUUUUGUUUCCUGAAUACUAUGACAGCUGUCACUGUGAAUGUAGAGGAGGUAAACAUGAUAUGGAUGACACAUGUAUGAGACAGUAAACAAGGUAAAGUGGAUUGGCAUGAAGACUGUGGAUUUGGGCAGUCCAGUCAAGGCAGACAAUCACAAAGGGGAAGCAGAGGCCAUGUGAAGUUGCAGGGUCAAACAGUCUCAGGAUAUGGUCUGCAUGUUAGCACUGAGUCAUCCCCGGGGAUCCAGAAGAAUUCAUUUGGAGAAGAAAGCAGAAGAAGCUGCCCUGAGCCACCGCAAGUGAUCAAUCACAAUUACACUAGCAAGGAUGAACACUUAAGAGCCUGGUGCAAACCCCUGUGCUGCUGAAUGCUUCGACGAUGGUAUGCAAGAAAACAGGAAGUUUCAGGAGUCAGUCCUCCUGAGAUGGAGCCCCCAGCACAAGAAAUAAGUGGUCCUGUUGGAGAGAGUCUGGAGGAGGCCAUGAGGAUGCUCAGAAAGCUUAAGCACCUCUUCUUUGAAGGCUGAGGGAGCUGGACUUGUUCAGGUUGGGGAAGAGAAGUCUCUGUGGACACCUCAUUGUGGCCUUUCAGUGCUGAAAGAGAGCUUACAAGAAAGAUGGAGAGCAACUUUACAUGGACAUGUAGUGAUAAGACAAGGGCUUAUUCCUGCUUGGACAAAUGUUCCUUGUCAACUUCUUGAAAAAUAUGUGGACCAUACUGCAGGCUCUCUGUUGUCACAGCUAGCUGGUGGUGGUGUUCAGUCUAUCAUUUAAAGCCCGCUACCUGUUGGUCUGAUUCCCCAUACCAGUGUGCUUCCUUGCCCCCCUUACCUGUGAACAGAAUGUGGUGAGGCUAGAAACAUCCAGAGGAGAGUGACAGAGGAUGUGGACCAAGCUUGCUAUGACUUCUUGCUCUGAGAAAGGCUUGACCAAGAGGAGACUUGGUCCCUGUGGGCUGCAAUGCCAGUUGGAGCAGACACAGAGGAAACAUGUGGAGAUGGUGGGCUACAGCCUCUCUGAGGCUUUGCUGUGGGCUGCUCUUAUGGCUGUUACACAUUUGAGUGGCUUCAAGGGAGAAGAUGCGUGAGUUUGUGGGAGAAAUCCAGAGAGCAUUAUUAAACACGAAGAAACCACAUCUAACUGAGGAAGUCCCUGAGGAGAAAAUGGGUGGGAAAGGACUUGGAAGAAAGUACCAUGUGUGCUCAUGCUGUUCUUGCACUCCAGCUGUACUCCUAAGCUCACAUCUAGGGAGGAACAUGUGGUGUGUGUGUAAGUUGUUUUCAUCCAGAACAUGAACCAUCUGCUACUUUUACAACUUCUGAAACUGAGCAGCCUUUUCUUCCUGAUAGGACCUUACAUUUCAAAUGAUGAUCAAAUUUUGGGACUUCCUUCUGUGCUUGCUUCAUGCUUUUGUAAACGUGAACAUGGCUCUUGGGAAGCAUUUUGGAUUGACGGCUUCAGCAACUGGAAAAAAGAAAUAGACAUCAUAAUCACUGUCAGAAAAGGACUGCAAAAAGAAACUGAGAGCUUAAUUAUGCCUGCAAAGGGGCGGGCUUUUUGUACAGGUGAUGAUAAAAGCAAGAUGAAGGGAAAGGAGGG
ensembl:lncRNA